GCAGUGGGUGAGGUCUGUAACAGGUAAAUUGGUACUGUGGAGUCUAAAGAGUAGAAAGAAUGUUAAGGUUUUUCAGGAAGAGACAAGAAGUUUUGGGAAACCCUAGCCAAGGUACAUCCAAUAAAUAACAGAAUUGUCUUCCCUGCUGCUGAAGGCUGUAUUCUUCUUUGGGCUCUGGGAGGCCUCUGCGAGAGGUUCAGCUUUGCUGUGGUAAUGUUGUACUGGGUACCAGCAGCGCCCGGGUGUGAUGGAGGGUACAGGCGGGCAUCCCAAAUCUACCGUCCCCGAGACCGGAGCUGUGCAGUGCGGUCUGCCCUGCCGGCAGCACGGCGAGGAGCUGCCUGAAGCCUCCGGAGCCUGAAGAGCAGGUCUGUCCCCUGCGAGCUGCAGAGCUCUGAGAGCUGCACAGCUCCAAGAGCCUCCCUGUAUGAGGUGCAUGGGGAAGACACUUAACUGCUGAGCAGGGGAGUUUCCAGAGGUUGGCUGGAGAGAGCGCGGCUUGAUGUCUGCUGCAUCUUGGUAUGUGGAGAGGGCUCCUGCCUCUAACUGCGAGAUGGGAUUUGCUCCCCUUAAAGCUGGUCUUCUGCUCUCCUCCCUAGCCCUACCUGCCAUAGGUUGCUCUACAUGAGCUGUACAAGUGAGGCUGCUUGCUCAGGGACUGGCCAGCUCCUCGAGGGUUGCAUUCCCUUGGGCAUUCAUAAAGUUCCUAGACAAAAUGGAACAUCAUUUUUGAUUAUGGACAAAGACCUUGUAUACGCUGGGGAGCUUAAAAAGAUUUUUAAAAUCUCUUCUAUGUUGUCUGUUCAGAGGCACUUCUAGCAACACUGAUGUGUGCUUAGAGCUCCAACUCUCGAAAAAAUCACAUGUAUUGUCAUGAAAUAGGUGAAAAGAAUCCUUAGAUUUGUCCUGUGUAGGGAAUUAUCGUAUGUGUAAUUUAUGUAAGGCAGGUUUGAGUUUGCAAAAAGUCUGGAACAUUUGAAAACGUGCGAAUCGUUCUCACUGCUCUGUAAGCCGUGAAACACAUUACUUCUGGUGUGCCCUGCU